GUUUUAUAGCCGCUCAGCCAAUAUGGUGGAUAUGACCCUCAGCUUUUAACGGAGUGGGCUCGGGUUCGAAUCCCGAAUAAGACA